AGUCUUAUAUUCAAUUAAUGAUAUAAAAUUGCAAAUUUUAAGUAGUAGAAUAAAAAUUACUAAGGCUU
rnacentral:tRNA from 1 species